rnacentral:rRNA from 1 species
GUCUAUGGCCAUGCCACCCUGAAUGUUCCCAAUCUCAUCUGAUCUCAGAAGCUAAGUAGGGUUGGGCCUGGUUAGUAUUUGGAUGAGAGAUCACCUAGAAAUACCAGGUGCUGUAGGCA